UGGGGGAUAUUGCGCAAUGGGGGCAGCCCUGACGCAGCAACGCCGCGUGAAGGAUGAAGGUUUUCGGAUUGUAAACUUCUUUUAUUAAGGACGAAACUUGACGGUACUUAAUGAAUAAGCUCCGGCUAACUACGUGCCAGCAGCCGCGGUAAUACGUAGGGAGCAAGCGUUGUCCGGAUUUACUGGGUGUAAAGGGUGCGUAGGCGGCUUUGCAAGUCAGAUGUGAAAUCUAUGGGCUCAACCCAUAAACUGCAUUUGAAACUGUAGAGCUUGAGUGAAGUAGAGGCAGGCGGAAUUCCCCGUGUAGCGGUGAAAUGCGUAGAGAUGGGGAGGAACACCAGUGGCGAAGGCGGCCUGCUGGGCUUUAACUGACGCUGAGGCACGAAAGCGUGGGUAGCAAACAGGAUUAGAUACCCUGGUAGUCCACGCUGUAAACGAUGAUUACUAGGUGUGGGGGGUCUGACCCCUUCCGUGCCGGAGUUAACACAAUAAGUAAUCCACCUGGGGAGUACGGCCGCAAGGUUGAAACUCAAAGGAAUUGACGGGGGCCCGCACAAGCAGUGGAGUAUGUGGUUUAAUUCGAAGCAACGCGAAGAACCUUACCAGGUCUUGACAUCCAACUAACGAAGUAGAGAUACAUUAGGUGCCCUUCGGGGAAAGUUGAGACAGGUGGUGCAUGGUUGUCGUCAGCUCGUGUCGUGAGAUGUUGGGUUAAGUCCCGCAACGAGCGCAACCCUUGCUAUUAGUUGCUACGCAAGAGCACUCUAAUAGGACUGCCGUUGACAAAACGGAGGAAGGUGGGGACGACGUCAAAUCAUCAUGCCCCUUAUGACCUGGGCUACACACGUACUACAAUGGAUGUUAACAGAGGGAAGCAAGACAGCGAUGUGGAGCAAACCCCUAAAAACAUUCUCAGUUCAGAUUGCAGGCUGCAACCCGCCUGCAUGAAGAUGGAAUUGCUAGUAAUCGCGGAUCAGCAUGCCGCGGUGAAUACGUUCCC
rnacentral:rRNA from 1 species